GAACGACACAAUGUUCAGUUCAAACCAAGCAGCUCUGCUCUUCUUUCAGCUACUGGGGAUGCAUCGUGUCUUUGGAGUGGAUGUUUCAGUUCAGCAGAGCAGGACGGUGGAGGUGUUCAGAGGAGAACCAGUAGAGCUCAACUGUAAUAUAUCAACAAGAAAUACACCACAACUCACCUGGAUGAAAGACAAAGUUCUGAUUUUUUCCAUCCAUAAGAAUGAGACUCUUUAUAACCUCUCCUCUCCAAGACAAAUCAUACAUCAGGACUCUUUUACCAGGCUCAGUAUUCUGAAUGCUCAGGCUGAAGAUGAAGGACUUUAUUCAUGCUCUGUAACCAGGAUAAGUGGCAUAAAUCAAAUUAAAUGGAAUGUAACUGUGACUGAGAAACCUGAGGAAGAUUCAUGGGAAUUUCCGAUUAUACUCACAGCAGGAUUUCCUCUCUGCUGCAUGAUAUUAACUGUCUGCAUCUACAGUUCACUGACUUCCUCUCGAGGAUGAAAACCGACGAUGUGAACGACAGCAGGACCCUGGUUCGAGUUUUCUAUUGUGGUCUGCAAAGGGAAGAGAUGAUGACAUCUUCAAACCGGUGCUGUCAGCAGGAACAAUCACAAGUUACAUAUAAAUGUAAGUCUCUGUGAGGUCAGCUGAGCAAACAGAAUCUGAGAUGAGAACUGGAAGAAAGAAGAAACCUGUUGGAUCAGAGUUCAGCAAAAAAAAAAAAAAAAGAUAAUAUUUGACAUGUUGGAAAAGUAAUUGUGUGUGUGUGUGUGUGUGUGUGUGUGUGUGUGUGUGUGUGUGUGUGUGUGUGUUUUCAAAACCCAUCAGUGUUUUAUUUGAAUUAUAUAAAUCUCAAAAUUGAAAACAUUUUGAACAUGAUGUUUAGGACUUGAUUUAUUAUUACUGUCACUUUUAUCUUAUUCACUUUGAAGACAUUUCUUUGUA